GCUGGGCAUGGACGUGCAUGCCUGUAAUCCCAGUGGCUUGGGAGGCUGAGGCAGGAGGAUUGCAAGUUCAAAGACAGCCUCAGCAAAAAGCAAGGCGCUGAAGCAACUCAGUGAGACCCUGUCUCUA
rnacentral:sRNA from 1 species